ensembl:snoRNA small nucleolar RNA U13
AUUCUUUUGUAGUUCAUAAGCAUUAUGAUUGGGUGCUCACACUUUUGUGUGAGAUGUGCCUCCCACAAACCUUAUUAUGACUUUGGCACAUUACCCGUCUGACA